CCCUUAGAUGUUCUGGGCCGCACGCGCGCUACACUGACAGAGCCAGCGAGUCUACCACCUUUGCCGGAAGGCAUGGGUAAUCUUGUGAAACUCUGUCGUGAUGGGGAUAGAACAUUGCAAUUAUUGUUCUUCAACGAGGAAUACCUAGUAAGCGUGAUUCAUCAGAUCGCGUUGAUUACGUCCCUGCCCUUUGUACACACCGCCCGUCGCUACUACCGAUUGAAUGGCUUAGUGAGGCCUCCGGAUUGGCUAUUGGGAGCUCGCGAGAGCACCCGACUGCCGAGAAGUUGUACGAACUUGNUNAUUUAGNGGAAGUAAAANUCGUANCA
rnacentral:rRNA from 1 species